CGGGAUCCAUCGGGCUUUGCCUGGUGGUGAGAGUGGCGAACGGGUGAGUAAUGCGUGACCGACCUGCCCCAUGCACCGGAAUAGCUCCUGGAAACGGGUGGUAAUGCCGGAUGCUCCAUCACACCGCAUGGUGUGUUGGGAAAGCCUUUGCGGCAUGGGAUGGGGUCGCGUCCUAUCAGCUUGAUGGCGGGGUAACGGCCCACCAUGGCUUCGACGGGUAGCCGGCCUGAGAGGGCGACCGGCCACAUUGGGACUGAGAUACGGCCCAGACUCCUACGGGAGGCAGCAGUGGGGAAUAUUGCACAAUGGGCGCAAGCCUGAUGCAGCGACGCCGCGUGAGGGAUGGAGGCCUUCGGGUUGUAAACCUCUUUUGUUAGGGAGCAAGGCACUUUGUGUUGAGUGUACCUUUCGAAUAAGCACCGGCUAACUACGUGCCAGCAGCCGCGGUAAUACGUAGGGUGCAAGCGUUAUCCGGAAUUAUUGGGCGUAAAGGGCUCGUAGGCGGUUCGUCGCGUCCGGUGUGAAAGUCCAUCGCUUAACGGUGGAUCCGCGCCGGGUACGGGCGGGCUUGAGUGCGGUAGGGGAGACUGGAAUUCCCGGUGUAACGGUGGAAUGUGUAGAUAUCGGGAAGAACACCAAUGGCGAAGGCAGGUCUCUGGGCCGUUACUGACGCUGAGGAGCGAAAGCGUGGGGAGCGAACAGGAUUAGAUACCCUGGUAGUCCACGCCGUAAACGGUGGAUGCUGGAUGUGGGGCCCGUUCCACGGGUUCCGUGUCGGAGCUAACGCGUUAAGCAUCCCGCCUGGGGAGUACGGCCGCAAG
rnacentral:rRNA from 1 species